UCCUAGCCCAGAUAGCAGUGAAAAUCCUUCUAUUUUUUUUCUUUAAAAAAAUAGAAGAUUGUAGCGAAUAGCUGGAUAAAGC
rnacentral:sRNA from 1 species